rnacentral:rRNA from 1 species
UACGAAGGUGGCGAGCGUUGUUCGGAAUCACUGGGCCUAAAGGGCACGUAGGCGGGCCGUCAAGCGUCGUGUGAAAGCCCUCGACUCAACCGAGGAAUGGCUCGGCGAACUGACGGUCUUGAGGCAGGCAGGGGCGAGUGGAACUCUCGGUGGAGCGGUGGAAUGCGUAGAUAUCGAGAGGAACGCCGGAGGCGAAGGCGACUCGCUGGGCCUGUCCUGACGCUGAGGUGCGAAAGCCAGGGGAGCGAACGGGAUUAGAUACCCCAGUA